GGGUGACUGCGUACCUUUUGUAUAAUGGGUCAGCGACUUAUAUUCUGUAGCAAGGUUAACCGUAUAGGGGAGCCGCAGGGAAACCGAGUCUUAACUGGGCGUUAAGUUGCAGGGUAUAGACCCGAAACCCGGUGAUCUAGCCAUGGGCAGGUUGAAGGUUGGGUAACACUAACUGGAGGACCGAACCGACUAAUGUUGAAAAAUUAGCGGAUGACUUGUGGCUGGGGGUGAAAGGCCAAUCAAACCGGGAGAUAGCUGGUUCUCCCCGAAAGCUAUUUAGGUAGCGCCUCGUGAAUUCAUCUUCGGGGGUAGAGCACUGUUUCGGCUAGGGGGUCAUCCCGACUUACCAACCCGAUGCAAACUACGAAUACCGAAGAAUGUUAUCACGGGAGACACACGGCGGGUGCUAACGUCCGUCGUGAAGAGGGAAACAACCCAGACCGCCAGCUAAGGUCCCAAAGUCAUGGUUAAGUGGGAAACGAUGUGGGAAGGCCCAGACAGCCAGGAUGUUGGCUUAGAAGCAGCCAUCAUUUAAAGAAAGCGUAAUAGCUCACUGGUCGAGUCGGCCUGCGCGGAAGAUGUAACGGGGCUAAACCAUGCACCGAAGCUGCGGCAGCGACACUAUGUGUUGUUGGGUAGGGGAGCGUUCUGUAAGCCGUUGAAGGUGGCCUGUGAGGGUUGCUGGAGGUAUCAGAAGUGCGAAUGCUGACAUAAGUAACGAUAAUGCGGGUGAAAAACCCGCACGCCGGAAGACCAAGGGUUCCUGUCCAACGUUAAUCGGGGCAGGGUGAGUCGACCCCUAAGGCGAGGCCGAAAGGCGUAGUCGAUGGGAAACAGGUUAAUAUUCCUGUACUUGGUGUUACUGCGAAGGGGGGACGGAGAAGGCUAUGUUGGCCGGGCGACGGUUGUCCCGGUUUAAGCAUGUAGGCGGAUGUUCCAGGUAAAUCCGGAGCGUCACUAACGCUGAGGUGUGAUGACGAGGCACUACGGUGCUGAAGUGACAAAUGCCCUGCUUCCAGGAAAAGCCUCUAAGCAUCAGGUAACAUCAAAUCGUACCCCAAACCGACACAGGUGGUCAGGUAGAGAAUACCAAGGCGCUUGAGAGAACUCGGGUGAAGGAACUAGGCAAAAUGGUGCCGUAACUUCGGGAGAAGGCACGCUGAUGGUAGGUGAAGUGACUUGCUCAUGGAGCUGAAAUCAGUCGAAGAUACCAGCUGGCUGCAACUGUUUAUUAAAAACACAGCACUGUGCAAACACGAAAGUGGACGUAUACGGUGUGACGCCUGCCCGGUGCCGGAAGGUUAAUUGAUGGGGUUAUCCUCGCGGAGAAGCUCUUGAUCGAAGCCCCGGUAAACGGCGGCCGUAACUAUAACGGUCCUAAGGUAGCGAAAUUCCUUGUCGGGUAAGUUCCGACCUGCACGAAUGGCGUAAUGAUGGCCAGGCUGUCUCCACCCGAGACUCAGUGAAAUUGAACUCGCUGUGAAGAUGCAGUGUACCCGCGGCAAGACGGAAAGACCCCGUGAACCUUUACUAUAGCUUGACACUGAACACUGGUCCUUGAUGUGUAGGAUAGGUGGGAGGCUUUGAAGUGUGGACGCCAGUCUGCAUGGAGCCAUCCUUGAAAUACCACCCUUUAAUGGCUGGUGUUCUAACGUGGGCCCGUGAUCCGGGUUGCGGACAGUGUCUGGUGGGUAGUUUGACUGGGGCGGUCUCCUCCUAAAGAGUAACGGAGGAGCACGAAGGUCAGCUAAUCCUGGUCGGACAUCAGGAGGUUAGUGCAAUGGCAUAAGCUGGCUUGACUGCGAGCGUGACGGCGCGAGCAGGUGCGAAAGCAGGUCAUAGUGAUCCGGUGGUUCUGAAUGGAAGGGCCAUCGCUCAACGGAUAAAAGGUACUCCGGGGAUAACAGGCUGAUACCGCCCAAGAGUUCAUAUCGACGGCGGUGUUUGGCACCUCGAUGUCGGCUCAUCACAUCCUGGGGCUGAAGUAGGUCCCAAGGGUAUGGCUGUUCGCCAUUUAAAGUGGUACGCGAGCUGGGUUUAGAACGUCGUGAGACAGUUCGGUCCCUAUCUGCCGUGGGCG
rnacentral:rRNA from 1 species